rnacentral:tRNA from 1 species
GUCAUUAGUAGUAUAAGAGUACAGUAUCAUAUUAAGAUACAGGAACAAUGGUGACU